AAUAAUGAAUAAAAAAUGCAGACUAAUCUCGGCUGAAAGAAAGCUGCUGAGCACAUCAAGACCACAUUAAGUAUAGUAAGUACAAAAUAGGGUUGUUACAAAACACAGUGAGUCUAAACAAUGUAACAACCUCUAACAGAAAGACUCAAAUGGCAACAGCAGCUUAUAGAGAAAGCCGAAAUAGUACUCAGCUGUAACCCUAGGUAUAUCUAAAUAGGAG